rnacentral:lncRNA from 1 species
ACGUUAUUAUAAUUGUCAUAUCCGUUGUCCGGGCACUAGUCGAAAUUGAUCAGGUCAAGUUUUCUAGCACUUAUUUUUCUUGUACCUUUGAUAACUUUAAAAAAAAAAUGAUAUAUCUUAAAUUUAUUUAACUGACGUUGUCAUCUUGCAUGGUUCAAAAGAUAAAGUAAACCUUUUCAGGACAUUGUCAGGACAUGAAUAUAACCCGCUUUGAUAAUUUUGUAAAUAAAAUCCGUUCUCAUUUAUAAUGUAUACUUUACAACAUAAUUAUUUUCAUUUACCUGUGUAAAUGUUUCUUUUUGGCAAC